CCAACCAUGUGCCCUCCUCAACAGUUGUAUGCAAAGAGCUCAUUUUAGAAAUCUGGUUUUUUUUUGAUCCAAACAUCCUUUUCUUUGGAAAUUGGUUACUCAAAACCGAUUCCUGAACAGCAGCUGCAAAAUCCUUUUGUAAAUCUGUUUGUAUUUGGUCCCUUGCACUCCUGAGGAACGGUAAUUGCUCUUAUCGUAAGAAUGUUCCAUUUUUUUUUUUUUAAUUCUUCCACUGAAUCCAUGUAUUGAAUUCUGAGGGGAGUCUUCAGAAAUGGUUGACUGGUUCCAGGCUGAUAUUUUUUCCCAUUAGAUUUCAGAGUAGCGGCCGUGUUAGUCUGUAUUCG